rnacentral:rRNA from 1 species
UACGGAGGGUGCGAGCGUUGUCCGGAAUCACUGGGCGUAAAGGGCGCGUAGGCGGCCACCGCAAGUCGGUUGUGAAAUCUCUGGGCUUAACCCAGAAAGGUCAACCGAUACUGCGGGGCUAGAGUGCAGAAGGGGCAACUGGAAUUCUCGGUGUAGCGGUGAAAUGCGUAGAUAUCGAGAGGAACACCUGCGGCGAAGGCGGGUUGCUGGGCUGACACUGACGCUGAUGCGCGAAAGCUAGGGGAGCGAACGGG